rnacentral:rRNA from 1 species
UGGGGAAUAUUGCACAAUGGGCGCAAGCCUGAUGCAGCCAUGCCGCGUGUAUGAAGAAGGCCUUCGGGUUGUAAAGUACUUUCAGCGGGGAGGAAGGGAGUAAAGUUAAUACCUUUACUCAUUGACGUUACCCGCAGAAGAAGCACCGGCUAACUCCGUGCCAGCAGCCGCGGUAAUACGGAGGGUGCAAGCGUUAAUCGGAAUUACUGGGCGUAAAGCGCACGCAGGCGGUUUGUUAAGUCGGAUGUGAAAUCCCCGGGCUCAACCUGGGAACUGCAUUCGAAACUGGCAGGCUAGAGUCUUGUAGAGGGGGGUAGAAUUCCAGGUGUAGCGGUGAAAUGCGUAGAGAUCUGGAGGAAUACCGGUGGCGAAGGCGGCCCCCUGGACAAAGACUGACGCUCAGGUGCGAAAGCGUGGGGAGCAAACAGG